ACGGCGGUGGCAGACAAGCAAUGCGGCGGACUCCAAACCCGCGUCAAUGUGGGGGCAGUACCCACCCGCCGUGCCA
rnacentral:tRNA from 1 species